rnacentral:rRNA from 1 species
GACGAACGCUGGCGGCGUGCUUAACACAUGCAAGUCGAACGGAAAGGCCCUGCUUUUGUGGGGUGCUCGAGUGGCGAACGGGUGAGUAACACGUGAGUAACCUGCCCUUGACUUUGGGAUAACUUCAGGAAACUGGGGCUAAUACCGGAUAUAAGCUCCUGCUGCAUGGUGGGGGUUGGAAAGUUUCGGCGGUUGGGGAUGGACUCGCGGCUUAUCAGCUUGUUGGUGUGGUAGUUGCUUACCAAGGCUUUGACGGGUAGCCGGCCUGAGAGGGUGACCGGCCACAUUGGGACUGAGAUACGGCCCAGACUCCUACGGGAGGCAGCAGUGGGGAAUAUUGCAGAAUGGGCGGAAGCCUGAUGCAGCAACGCCGCGUGCGGGAUGACGGCCUUCGGGUGGUGAACCGCUUUCGCAUGUGACGAAGAGUGAGUGACGGUAAUGGGUAAAGAAGCACCGGCUAACUACGUG